CAGCACGGAGCAUGCUCUGGUGGCGAGUGGCGAACGGGUGAGUAAUAUAUCGGAACGUACCCUGGAGUGGGGGAUAACGUAGCGAAAGUUACGCUAAUACCGCAUACGAUCUACGGAUGAAAGUGGGGGAUCGCAAGACCUCAUGCUCGUGGAGCGGCCGAUAUCUGAUUAGCUAGUUGGUAGGGUAAAAGCCUACCAAGGCAUCGAUCAGUAGCUGGUCUGAGAGGACGACCAGCCACACUGGAACUGAGACACGGUCCAGACUCCUACGGGAGGCAGCAGUGGGGAAUUUUGGACAAUGGGCGAAAGCCUGAUCCAGCAAUGCCGCGUGAGUGAAGAAGGCCUUCGGGUUGUAAAGCUCUUUUGUCAGGGAAGAAACGGUGAGAGCUAAUAUCUCUUGCUAAUGACGGUACCUGAAGAAUAAGCACCGGCUAACUACGUGCCAGCAGCCGCGGUAAUACGUAGGGUGCAAGCGUUAAUCGGAAUUACUGGGCGUAAAGCGUGCGCAGGCGGUUUUGUAAGUCUGAUGUGAAUCCCCGGGCUCAACCUGGGAAUUGCAUUGGAGACUGCGAGGCUAGAAUCUGGCAGAGGGGGGUAGAAUUCCACGUGUAGCAGUGAAAUGCGUAGAUAUGUGGAGGAACACCGAUGGCGAAGGCAGCCCCCUGGGUCAAGAUUGACGCUCAUGCACGAAAGCGUGGGGAGCAAACAGGAUUAGAUACCCUGGUAGUCCACGCCCUAAACGAUGUCUAC
rnacentral:rRNA from 1 species